GACGAACGCUGGCGGCGUGCUUAACACAUGCAAGUCGAACGAAGUGGCGAACGGGUGAGUAACGCGUAAUCAACCUGCACUUCAGAGGGUGACAACAGGUGGAAACGACUGCUAAUACCGCAUACUGAAGGAGGGGAUUGCGUCUGAUUAGCUAGUUGGAGGGGUAACGGCCAACCAAGGCGGUGAACAGUAGCCGGUCUGAGAGGAUGAACGCCGACAUUGGGACUGAGCACCGUCCCAGACUCCUACGGGAGGCAGAAGUGGGGAAUCUUCCGGAAUUGACGAAAGUCUGACGGAGCAACGCCGCGUGAGUGAUGACGGCCUUCGGGUUGUAAAGCUCUGUUAAUCGGGACGCGGUACCGGAAUAGAAAGCCACGGCUAACUACGUGCCAGCAGCCGCGGUAAUAC
rnacentral:rRNA from 1 species